rnacentral:rRNA from 1 species
UACGUAGGGUGCGAGCGUUGUCCGGAAUUAUUGGGCGUAAAGAGCUCGUAGGCGGUCUGUCGCGUCGGUCGUGAAAACCUGCAGCUUAACUGUGGGCUUGCGGUCGAUACGGGCAUGACUGGAGUUCGGCAGGGGAGACUGGAAUUCCUGGUGUAGCGGUGAAAUGCGCAGAUAUCAGGAGGAACACCGGUGGCGAAGGCGGGUCUCUGGGCCGAUACUGAC